rnacentral:rRNA from 1 species
AAAUUGAAGAGUUUGAUCAUGGCUCAGAUUGAACGCUGGCGGCAGGCCUAACACAUGCAAGUCGAACGGUAACAGGAAGCAGCUUGCUGCUUYGCUGACGAGUGGCGGACGGGUGAGUAAUGUCUGGGAAACUGCCUGAUGGAGGGGGAUAACUACUGGAAACGGUGGCUAAUACCGCAUAACGUCGCAAGACCAAAGAGGGGGACCUUCGGGCCUCUUGCCAUCAGAUGUGCCCAGAUGGGAUUAGCUWGUUGGUGAGGUAACGGCUCACCAAGGCGACGAUCCCUAGCUGGUCUGAGAGGAUGACCAGCCACACUGGAACUGAGACACGGUCCAGACUCCUA